rnacentral:rRNA from 1 species
AACCAUUUUUCUUCAGGUGACCUCGGAUCACGCCGCAGGGGGGCAUCCCGMGA